rnacentral:snRNA from 1 species
AUCGUUUCUCGGCCUUUUGGCUAAGAUCAAGUGUAGUAUCUGUUCUUAUCAGUUUAAUAUCUGAUACAUCCUCUAUUUGAGGACUAUAUAUUACAUGCAUUUUUGAAAUUGGGAGAUGGAAUAGGGGCUUGCUCCAUCAAAAAACAAAAGUUGUGAGCCGCCCCGAGGCUUUGUUGCG